CCUACGGGUGGCUGCAGUGAGGAAUAUUGGUCAAUGGGCGAGAGCCUGAACCAGCCAAGUAGCGUGAAGGAUGACGGCCCUACGGGUUGUAAACUUCUUUUGUCAGGGAGCAAUUUAGUCCACGUGUGGUCUUAGCGAGAGUACCUGAAGAAAAAGCAUGGGAUAACUCAGUGCCAGCAGCCGCGGUAAUCCGGAGGAUGUGGGGUUAAUCGGGAUUUUUGGGGUUAAAAGGGUGCGUAGGCGGAAUAUCAAGUCAGUGGUAAAAAUUCGGGGCUAAACCCGGUCGUGCCGUUGAAACUGGUGUUCUUGAGUGGGCGAGACGUAUGCGGAAUGCGUGGUGUAGCGGUGAAAUGCAUAGAUAUCACGCAGAACUCCGAUUGCGAAGGCAGCAUACCGGCGCCCAACUGACGCUGAAGCACGAAAGCGCGGGUAUCGAACAGGAUUAGAUACCCCUGUAGUC
rnacentral:rRNA from 1 species